GACGAACGCUGGCGGCGUGCCUAAUACAUGCAAGUAGAACGCUGAAGGAGGAGCUUGCUCUUCUGGAUGAGUUGCGAACGGGUGAGUAACGCGUAGGUAACCUGCCUGGUAGCGGGGGAUAACUAUUGGAAACGAUAGCUAAUACCGCAUAAGAGUAGAUGUUGCAUGACAUUUGCUUAAAAGGUGCAAUUGCAUCACUACCAGAUGGACCUGCGUUGUAUUAGCUAGUUGGUGGGGUAACGGCUCACCAAGGCGACGAUACAUAGCCGACCUGAGAGGGUGAUCGGCCACACUGGGACUGAGACACGGCCCAGACUCCUACGGGAGGCAGCAGUAGGGAAUCCUCGGCAAUGGACGGAAGUCUGACCGAGCAACGCCGCGUGAGUGAAGAAGGUUUUCGGAUCGUAAAGCUCUGUUGUAAGAGAAGAACGAGUGUGAGAGUGGAAAGUUCACACUGUGACGGUAUCUUACCAGAAAGGGACGGCUAACUACGUG
rnacentral:rRNA from 1 species